GGCUGGCCUGAUGGGCCACACCGCAGGCCACACCCAAAGAGCUGCUCCUGGGGCAGAGAGCGCCUCUGAGCAGGAAAUGACAGAGGAAGUUUUGGGUGCAGCUUUACCGAUAAGGACCCGUGAAACAAACAACGCCGUGUGAUACCGAUCAGCAAACAUUUCAGCCAAGCAGCGUGGAAGGAAGACUGCAGGCAAAAUGGCGGAAAGAAAAAGAUAAAGUAGGUAGCUCCUUACGAAGUGUAAUAACAGGAACAAGAAAACUGGACUUGGCAGCCUUUUGUUCUAUUUGUCAGCGACUCUACAAUCUACUCAGGAGGCCGAAGCAGGAGAACCGCUUGAACCCGGGAGGCAGAGGUUGCAGGGAGCCAAGGUUACACAAUUGCACUCCAGCCUGGGCGAUAGAGCAGCACUCCACCCCAACAUAAACAAACAAAGAAAACAUAAAAUAGCUAGAAGAGAGGAAUUGCCACGUGUCAAGAAAAGACAAAUAAAGUCAACAAAAUAAUCUAAAGCUCCUUGAAUUGAUUAAGUUGUUUUGUUUUUCAUUUAAAAGAUAGUUCUAUGUCUUCCCUCCAGUUUUCUCACAGUACGAAGUACAAACAAGUGACAGGACAAACACUGCAUCUAUUAUCAUUUUCUCAACGUCAUGUACGUCAGCAUUUCUUACACUAAAUAGCUAAGGUUUUGUAAGUGUAGACACGAGUUGAACUAAACUGAGUUAUAACAAUGAAUAUCUGGAUUUUAAAAAUCAACCUUUUAAACCUCCAACAAUAGCAAUAAUUUCGUAACCCUACAAAGUUACUCCACCUUGUAAAUGGAAUAACUUCUAAGAUUUCCUCAUCUACUGACUUCGAGACCUGGGGUGGAUAAUAAAUUGAGGUAAUUAGCAAGUAAUGGUUACCUGGAUAAUCUCCAAAGGAAUGAAAAUUCCUAAAGACAAAAUGCAAAGGCACACAGUUAUUUCUGACAUAUGUAUUCUUGCCUAUGCAUGAACACAAUGGCGCCACACAGCACUCACCAAUCAGGAAAUCACUGUAAUAUAAACAUUGUUUUGUGCUUUAUUAGACACAGGGUCUCACUCUGUCCCCCAGGCUAGAGUGCACCGGUGCA
rnacentral:lncRNA from 1 species